rnacentral:lncRNA from 1 species
GGGCGAAAUCACUCUUUAACUAUACAUAGGUUUUGCUUGGUACUUUCGCCAAUAUCACCUAUAUGAGCCAGUCCAUGCGAAAAGGUACAAAAACGAAAAAUUGACGAAAUUCUAAAUAGUGUGCAUAAUUAUUGGUAGUAGACUUGUGAUUUAUAAAACACAUUUACUCUCCCUCAUAUCAUCAAGCUGUGAGCUACACGCACCUGCAAGUGUUGAGACCCCCCCUUUAGUUUUAUCAAGAUUUUUAGUGAAUUAUUUCAUAUAUUUCAAUCAUUUUCAAAGUACAGUUUAAAUGGCUUGAUUUUCCACUUGAUAAUGUUAACCCCGGUAGCAGUGGGGAUAAGGCUCUCGCUUACGAUGCGGAUAUCAAUGCAAUCAAACCGGGCAACGGUUCGAAUCCCAUGCAACUAAGGUUGAUUUAUAUAAUAUUAAAUAACUUAACUUAACUUUCAAUUUCUAAAACACAAGAUGUCAUAGUUUUUGUAUUUUCCCUCAUGUUUUAAUGUUGUCUUACUUUCUUUAAACCUGUAGAACUGACGGAAAUUAUUGACUUUUGUCUCUGUAGUGUCAUAAAUUUUUAUAGUUUCUGGUCGGUAUAGCAUUAGACCGGGGAACAAAUGAUUUUACACUUGCUCAAAUACCAAAAAUUCAGAUAUGUCUACGUCUUUUUCGGUUUUAGUUGACAAAUUCGGGAUAGAAUUGAAAAUCUUAUGAAUGUUUACAUUAAUGUAAUUUUUUUUCGGAUAAAAUCGUUUUUCAAAAAUACUAUAAAAAACUUUGAUAACGUGUCCUGUAAAGUUUACCAAAAGGACUUUUUGUACCUUUUCGCAUGGACUGGCUCAUAUGUGAAGGAUUUUACUUGAAGGAUGAUCAAGGACUUUUGGAGCAGAUGUAAAAUUUCCUAUAAAAUUCUAAAACUUUGACAGAUAUGAUUGACUGAAAUGGGGUUUUUCAUUUACAUUUCACUGAAAGGAUAACAGUUCUUU